rnacentral:rRNA from 1 species
AACGAACGCUGGCGGCAGGCUUAACACAUGCAAGUCGAACGCUCCGCAAGGAGAGUGGCAGACGGGUGAGUAACGCGUGGGAAUCUACCCAUCUCUACGGAAUAACCCAGGGAAACUUGGACUAAUACCGUAUACGCCCUUCGGGGAAGAUUAUCGGAGAUGGAUGAGCCCGCGUUGGAUUAGCUAGUUGGUGGGGUAAA